AGCGAACGCUGGCGGCAGGCCUAACACAUGCAAGUCGAGCGCCCGUAGCAAUACGGGAGCGGCAGACGGGAGAGUAACACGUGGGAACGUGCCCUUCAGUUCGGAACAACCCAGGGAAACUUGGGCUAAUACCGGAUACGUCCGUAAGGAGAAAGAGUUAUCGCUGAAGGAUCGGCCCGCGUCUGAUUAGCUUGUUGGUGAGGUAACGGCUCACCAAGGCGACGAUCAGUAGCUGGUCUGAGAGGAUGAUCAGCCUCACUGGGACUGAGACACGGCCCAGACUCCUACGGGAGGCAGCAGUGGGGAAUAUUGGACAAUGGGCGCAAGCCUGAUCCAGCCAUGCCGCGUGGGUGAUGAAGGCCCUAGGGUUGUAAAGCCCUUUCGGCGGGGAAGAUAAUGACGGUACCCGCAGAAGAAGCCCCGGCUAACUUCGUGCCAGCCGCCGCAGUAAACC
rnacentral:rRNA from 1 species